GGUAUGGGCUGAGAGAUUCUUGUGGCCAAUAGGUUUUGUUUGUGAAGUGUUUCAGCUGUUUACUGUUAGCUUUCACAUUGCGUGGCAUUUGGGAUGAUUUUCCCUUAUGUGGGAGCUUCAUCCUGCCUUUAUAGAACCAAAGAAAGCUAAAAAGUUAGAUAAUUAGGUUAUAAAUCCCAUCUGUUUCUGAAAGGAGCCUAGAUGUGUCACUUCCUCAGCUAAAGGUGCCGUCAAGCUCUCCUACUGCAUCCACAAGCAGUUUCUUCUCCAGACGUGUUAGAGAAAACACCUUUAAUGGGAUCAAGUUCCUCAUUUUUUCAAGAAAGGACACGUUCUAGUUACAGAGUUUACCCAGCAAAAGCGCCUGCAGUGUAAUGCAGAGAAACCUGAGGCAGAUGUAAAUUCAAACACUGGUAACAACCUAAGCGAGGCGGCGCCGAGCUCAGCACAGCCAAUUUGCUUUGCUGAGGAGCUGAGUAAAUCAGCUCCUGCUGAGCCCGUGCUGCCCUGGUGCCUGCUGGAGUCCUGGGAGAGGGGGCAGAGCCACCACGGGGCUCUCCAGGUGCUGCUGUCACUCCUGAUGGACUCACAGGGUAGUGGGGAUGCAGGCACCCAAAUCAUUGCUUUCCUAUUUCAGUGGGCGGCUUCCUGCCUGGUGGACCUAUAAGCAAGUCAGUGUAGGACAUCAUAGUCUCACUAAUGAAGAUGUUAUCUCUGGAAACUUUCUGCGUUACUCAGCAGUAACGCCGCCCAACCGCCAAAUAGUGGUGUGUGCUACACUGACUCCUUGUAAUUAAAAUAGCUCUUCCGUUACUGCUUUUAGCAAGUAGGCAUGAUGAGAGAAAUGCUAUCUCUGAAAACAGCCAUGAUGUCCUUCACUACCAAGAUGAUUCUCUGAACAGCUGCAUCUGUGCUGGGAAAUGCCACCUGAAAUUGGACAACAAGAGAUAAUAUUUUUUAUUUUACAAUUUUACAAUAAGCUGUGCCCACUUUGGUGGAGAAAAUAAUGAACACAGAGACUUUUAUCAGCUGUUUGGCUGGCAUGUAUUUGCAUGUGCCUAAAUACCUUUCCUAUUUGCUGUGCAAGAUCCUGAUACAGGGUGCAGCAACAUCCAGUAGCCCUGGGCAAUAAUAGCCUGAUAAAUUUGGUUCAGCUGACUGGAGUUCCACAUAGUAUGCAACUUGCCUUAUAUCUCGCCUCUCAAAAAACACCUGCACUGAUCCAUAUAGAUUCUUAUUUCCCAGAAUAAGAGGCUGUUUCACAGCCUUAAAAUAAGAAGAAAAAUGGCAAUUUGUAAAUGGGAUUUUGCAGUUUUCCAUGCUCUGCCAUUGACCAGGGAAACGAGAAACCUGCAGAGGAGCACAGCCUGAACCGCUGACCCAAACUGGCCAAAGAGCUAUUCCAUAAUACAAAAUGUCAUGCUCAGUGUAUAAAGUGGAAGGCUUUGGCCAGGAGCUGCCAGCUGGGAGAGAACAGGUAUAAGCAACCAUUUGUCCAAGGUGGCCAGUCAGUACCCAAGCAAGAGAUGUUUUGGAAGUGGAACAACUUAAUUGCAUAGAUAUUUAAGCAGACUGUGGCAUUAACUGAAGAUUCGAACACAAUUCAGCCUAUUGAAAUAAAUUACACUUGUCAAGACUGUCUUCAGAACUUCCUAAUGACAAGAAAAACAGCAUAUACAGUGAAAAAAAACAAUAUAAGUAUACUUAAGAAAAAAAUCAAUGGACAUUGGGUGUGUUCUUUCUGGACAGAGAACUCAAGAAGCACAGUGUUCUGUUGUCACAGCCAUGCUGAACUAUAACCCUUUCAUUGAUUGAGACAAGCGCAAUCACCGGAUGCUGAGCCAACCCAGUAAAAAGGUUUUUUUUAUGACUGAAGCUGUGAUGAGAAAAAACCCCAAACAGCCUGUGGGUGGAGCAAAAUGAGACCUUCUGCUACUCAGUUAUACCACUCCCAGUCUCAUUCCAAAAGCAAAAUAAGAGCUUUUCUAGUCAGAUUUCAGCAAGCAAUAUUUCAGCAAUUGCACAUGACAGAGAUAAUUUCAAGGCAAAUCAGACAUACCCUCAACAAAAACAGAUUGAUCCUGCAAGAACCUAUUCCCAGCACUUAACAAGAACAUGAUGUAAGAAGAAACAGUGCAAACCAAGCACCUAUCAAGCCUUGAGCCAGUGUGAUCAUCCAUUUGAAUUUGUCUGGUAAUGAGGGGAAGCUGUGCUUCCACUUGGCCAUGCGUGACCCAGAGGUUGCACUAAGGACAUAAACAAGAGUGAAGUUGUUACUGAAAUGUAUCUUCAUUAGACUGGACUCUGCUAUUCUGAAAAAGACUUGACAGCAUGGUGGGAGAUUGUGAGGAGCUGGCAGAAGACUUCAGGCUCAGGAGGUAUCUGAGAUCUCCCUUUCUCCACCACCAAAGCAUUGGAUGAACACCCGGACUUAUUUUGCAGCUGAAGCAAGGGCUGCAUCUUUGUGGAUGUUCCAGGAGACAUCUAUCAAGCAUCAAAAAAAUCCCUCCCAAUACCUACAGAAGUACUGAGACCAGGCUCACCCCAUGCAGGGCUGACAUUUCAGCUGGACGGAUCACCCAGCAGCAGAUAUCUGAGCAGGCAGUGCAGCAGUGCUGAGGGACCAUCAGGAAUGUGGAAAUCCUGCCUUCAGCUGCUGCCUGUGCUUGUCGAUUGAAUCCACAUGGCUAGGAGGUAUUUAGGAUGGAGAUAAUCCAAACAUUAAUUGAAAGCAGAAGCUGGAAGCCAAAAUUCCAUUCUCUCAGUUGUAAUGUUCUGAAAUGUAUCCUGAAGCCAGUCUACUGAAUAAGAACAAUAGCAAGAGUAAAAAUGUCAAGGAAGAACAGGAGAGGCAGAAUAGAAAUGCAGCAUGAAACUGAGUUAGAAGCUGAAGGCUGAAAGGGGCUCUGAAGAGAAAAGUUCAAGAUUAAAGGAAAUUAUUUCAUCCGUUUCUCCUACUCAUGAGUAAUUACUUAUAUGCAGCUGAGUAAUAAUUGCAACUGAAAGCAUUUGAGUGAAUUCAGCAGUCAGCACUAUGAUCAUGGAUCAUAAUCUGGAUCAUGAAUCAUAAUUAAGGGCAAAUUUAAAAUUAAAUGCUAUGGAUCUCUUCAAGGUCCUUUUUUGUAAAUAAUAAAUCAGAGCUGUUUCUGUAGGUAAGUCAAGUUAAAAUUGUGUGUAUGUUAAAGAAUAAAGAAGUUUCUUCCCUUCCUUCCACUUAUUCACAAGUGAAACAAGAGCAAGUCAUUUCAAGGGAACUCUGAGAUAGAGCAAGAUAACAAAUGUGAUGUACUUCACAAACAAUGUUAUCUCCUUCAACCAGAUAAAAACAUAGAUACUAUAGGUUAGGUGCCAAUUUGUUUCACUGAAAUUACAUGCUGUGAAUCACUCCUGCAGUAUUGCAUGAGUACCUGCUCAUAUAGUACCCAGCUUCUGUGACCCUAGAGUACAUUCAUUUGUAAUGUAAGAAAUGAGUGGUAAAACAUAUAUUAUAAAAAAUGGAAAUACCUUAUGUGAGAACUAGAAGCAGAAAUCUGAAGCACUGGCUAUUCCUUUUCCCCAGGUAUUAUAAUUUUUGACCUUUUUGUACUGCCUCCAUCUAGUGAUAGAUAAGUAUGUGCUUUGUUUCCCAAACUGGGGUGAUUUCUGUGAUAGGCACCAGAUUUUAUUCUGAAAUACUUAUUAAUUUAAAAUAAAAUAUGGAUUUCUACUGCUAAUUAUAGCAUGGUGAUGUGCUACUUGUCAAUUUCAUAUGUUUUUCAAAAGACAUAAAAAACCCAUUUUAUCAUAAGUACUAAGGUCAUGUUUACAUAAAGAUUUGGUUUUGAGAAACUGGAUGUAAAGUGUUUUAUUUUUUUAAAAGAAUAAUGCCAGACAUGGACAGCCAUUUGUGCUGGAUCCCUCUGUGCUGGGGAGAAUGUGACAGCCAGGGACUCCUCCCUGCACAAGGACCAAUACAUAGAGUAUGAAAAUCAAAACUGAUUUGGCUGCUUGAGAAAGGCUAAGAGAUAAAUGUUUAAAAUUCUAGAUUCAAGUGAUGUUUUUCAAAAGGUUAAAUUUUGAAAAUGUCUCAUCAUAAACUU